rnacentral:lncRNA from 1 species
GUUCUUGGAUUAUAAAAGCCAACGACGUUCUUCCACGGCUGCCCUGUCAUUAAGGCGAAUACGCGAUAAGUAUUGACGCGUUUGGUCCGAAGGGAAUGGGAUGGAAGGAGAUUCCGCUUCUUUUUCGUUCGAUGCACUCAUUUCAAGCGAACGAUCGUAGCCGGCUGGGCUUCCUAUGAGAGUCUCACUACUCAUUUGAGCAGACUGCGGAGCAAACUUCAGCCUCGUUAGCAUCCUGUUGCCUGCAGCUGCGAACGUGCACUCGAUGAGAUAGGGACGUUUGCAGUGGUGACGACAGCGAUCAGCAGAACGGAAGGAGACGGAGAAGUGCAAGUACGGAGAGAUGGCAGAACAUAAAAACAGUAAAGCUGGGAGAAAGAGGCCAAGCCGCUCGGGAAGAGAGCGAGAGAGAGAAGCACAAGUUUUAUAUACGCGUAUAGGUAAAGGGAGUAGAAACGAGAAAGGGAGAAAGGGAGAGAGCAAGGAAAGAGGCGAGUGGGUGUGCGUGUGUAUCCUGAUACACGGUAGAGUGCUUUUGAAGCGAGUGCAGUAGACUGACGAAGCUCCGACGUGCACGGUCUGGUGAUUAGCGCCGCCCCCCGGGGACGGUAACCGCCAAUCGGUGGACGGCGUCGGGACGCCGACGUCAGGGCUCGCCGCACAAUCGCGGGCUCCGCAGAAACGCGGAUAGUGGGAUAGGGGACACAAGCAGAGCCACGACAAAAAUCAAUCACCGCUUGUGCUCCGGCUUUCAUGUACACGCGAUGCUGUGCCGCUGGAUUCCAUCUCGCAUCUCCGACUCUACUUCCACUUCGUUCAUCGGAGUUUCAUUUGAAACUCACUCUCAUCGCUCGCCUCCUCCGAGUGCUGCACGACGACACGAAAAUUUUAUGACUCCAUGUUAAGUGUAAAACAACAUGACGGCAAAGUUUUGCGAUCCUUCCCCAAACGACGAUACGUGACGAGAAAUUUUCAACUUUCGUUUCGCGAUUACGAAUGCGCGAUUUAUUUCAUGAGUCAUAACGACCCGCACGACGAUGCGCGCAUCGAGGUUUGCAAAAACUUGCGAAAAAAUGGUAACCAUCUUUGGAGUAAUAUGCGACAAAUGAUCCGUGCAUAAGUUCUCACUGUCACGUUAUUGUAAUGCCAAUAAUUAUGUCAAUAAAGUAUUUCGUACGACCUCCUUCCCCCGACA